rnacentral:tRNA from 1 species
UCCCUGGUGUCUCAGUGGUAAAGAAUCUGCCUGCAAUGCAGGAGACCAGGGUUUGAUCCCUGGGUUGGGAA